rnacentral:rRNA from 1 species
AUGGAGCCGACGUUGGGAUACCACCCUUCUGUUGCUGGGAUUCUAACGCGAAGAUUAACAACCUUGCGGACCAUCUCAGGUAGGCGGUUUGACUGGGGCGGUCGCCUCCGAAAGAGUAACGGAGGCGCCCAAAGGUUCCCUCAGGCCGGACAGAAACCGGCCGAAGAGUGCAAAGGCAGAAGGGAGCUUGACUGCGAGACAGACAAGUCGAGCAGAGACGAAAGUCGGGCUUAGUGAUCCGGUGGUACUGCGUGGAAAGGCCAUCGCUCAACGGAUAAAAGCUACCCUGGGGAUAACAGGCUAAUCUCUCCCAAGAGUUCAUAUCGACGGGGAGGUUUGGCACCUCGAUGUCGGCUCAUCACAUCCUGGAGCUGGAGUAGGUUCCAAGGGUUGGGCUGUUCGCCCAUUAAAGUGGUACGCGAGCUGGGUUCAAAACGUCGUGAGACAGUUUGGUUCAUAUCCAUCGCGGGCGCAAGAAGUUUGAGGGAGGCUGCUCCUAGUACGAGAGGACCGGAGUGGACGGAUCAACGGUGUACCAGUUGUCACGCCAGUGGCACGGCUGGAAAGCCGCAUCCGGAAAGGAUAAACGCUGAAAGCAUCUAAGCGUGAAGCCCGUCCCAAGAUGAGACUUCUCAUCAGCAAUGAGUAAGACCCCUUAAAGACGAUGAGGUUGAUAGGCUGUGAGUGGAAGAGCCGCGAGGCUUGGAGCGACGCAGUACUAAUAGGUCGAGGUCUUAACUUA